CUCGUCCGGCUGGCUGAUGUGCUCUAUAGCGUCCACAAUGCAGAGAAAAGGUUGGGUUCAUGCAGAGCAGACAUUAUUGUUUUAGUUAGUGUGCUGAGGGAGUAGCAGCUGAGUGAAACUGAGCACUCAGUGUCAUGCUUUAUAUUGGUUAAAGUAGAAAUGGGAGACUGUUUCCAUUUGCAACUCAUGUAUGUUCAAUAUGCUGACAAUCCUUGACAUGCAUUAAAAAAUAAAUAUAAAUAAAUAUAUAAUAAAUAAUCCAGCAUAUUGCUAAAUCCAACAAUAAUAUUCUUAACAAUUUACAGUAGUCAGCAAUGAAAAUAAUUACCUUGAAGGAGUGUUCAAGUUUGCCCCUAUCUCUGAAUUGUGCAUUAAAAUGACGAACUGUCCUUUCAGUAACUGGUUGGUCAACAAAUAAUAUUAAAAUAAUCCUAAAAUUGAUUUAUAAAAACCAUGGCUGGGAUUGACUCAGUGACAUUUCUAAAUCAUCUGGCAGCACUGUUUAUAUGUGAAACAAGCAAAGAAGGACAUAUGAGUGUAGAGAAGAGGCAGCACCUGUUGUUGGUCUUACAUGAUUACAGCGAGCUUGAUGCUCAGUUUGGUGAGAAAACCCACUUCUGGACACUUAGCAAACUGCUUGUUAUGGGUCAAAUUGACCUGUUUCAAAGUUCAAACGUUUUUUAAAAAUACGGUUUCCCAUUUGUCUGUGUCACCCUGUACAAGAAUGCAGGUGUUAUUAUUAUUAGAUGUUAUUAUUAACAUCUGACGGUAUCAACAUUGCCUGUGAAAAUUUGUUGAUAAGCCACAAUGUAAGCCACAGUCAGGAGCUCCUAAAAGGGAAGCUCAUGAUUGUCUGACGGGUCCAAAAAAACAAGGCUAACUCACUGUUGAGCUGAAAACAAGGCCCCUCUGUCCUCCAGGUUUGCCUUCACAGACAGAACAGCCCCAGUGUCUUACUGCCCCAAAAGGGAAAAAUACUGGAAUCAUGAGCACAAAAUCGCUGAAAGCAGCACAGUGGUACCAGAAACCAAAUAUGACUAUGAUUAAAAUAGAUCGUAGACAACCUGCACUAAGUCACAGGUUCCUGCAGCAUCACGCGUUGGCCUCUGGUUGUUCAAAAUUAUGAUACAUCAGUCUACAACUCAUUUAUUGUUUGGAUGGAGAUGUAAUGUAGCAGACAGUAACAGUAACAGACUGGACAAAGUGAUCAGGAGGGCUGAUUCUGUUUUGGGGGUGGAGCUGGACCCCCUACAUGAGGAGGAGGAUGCUGGUCGUACUCCUCUCUAUCCUAGACAACACCUCCCACCCCCUACACAGUGUGCUGUCUGGACAGAGGAGCACCUUCAGCCAGAGGCUGAUCAGUAUUAGGUGCUUCAUAGAACGCCACCGGAGAUCCUUACUACCAGUGCCAUCAGUCUGUACAACUCCUCCUCCCUCUGUAAGGGUUGAUCUUUAUCCGGGCAGUAACAAGUACAAUAUAUGUUUAGCUAGUAAUUAGAUGUAAUUAGACAAUAGUAAUUUGACUUGAUGUGAGUGUGUGUGGAUGUGUUAGCAUUCUUAUUUUUAAUCUCCUUUCCUUUUUGUGUGUACCUCCAUCUGUGACAGCGAUCAAAUUGUGCAAAAUAAUUUCCCUUUUCACUUUUUUGAAUCUUGAAUCUUGAAAGUUUUCUGUAAAAGAGAAGUAUCUUCCAUGAGUAGCUGGGAGAGCCACUAGUGAUGCCACAUUUAUAAAGUAGCAGCACAAGACAGCUACUGUACAGGGAGGGAUCCAGGACAGUACUUCAGGUUGUUGUUGGGUUAAAAGAAAUCAGGAAGAGGAGCCACGUCUGCAAGUUGUGUGUUUAGGCCCAGAUAAGCAUAGCCUGUGUAAAAUGUGCAAAAUUACACAUAAACAAGUGUUCAUGUUGUUCAUAUUAUAUUUUUAUUUCAUUAUUUUGUUCAUUUCUGGUUUUAAAACACUGCUUAAGUAAAGGGUACUUUUAUUUUCCUUGAUUUUAGGUCACAGGGUCAAUUUGACCCUGAACAAAACCAGGGUUGUGUGAUGUUUAUCAACAUCACACAAUGAAAAAAAGUUGUAAAGAAAUCAUAAAAGUGUAAAACUAUUGUGUUUCAUAUAUACAGUAUGGUGAGUGACUGAACCUGAUUGAGAGGUGAAGACAAACAUUGCUCUAAAAUUGGGUGGAAUUUUUAGAGAACGUUAUACAAACCAUUUUGUAUCUUGGAUUUUUAGUGUUUUGACACUUUUGGGUAUCUAAGCAUACCCUGAGAUUGACAUGUGAACAUCAUAGCUGUUCAUGAGAAACAAACAUAACAGGAGGGACGACAGUGUCUUAGUGCCAUUUUCACUUCCAGCAACUGAUAUGGCAGCUCUUAUUCUGUCUGUCUCCUUCCACUUAUAGAAGCAGGUGCUAUGCAACUGCUCACACCCAUAAGUACAUAAACAUAAAUACUGUAUCAGUAAACAGUAUAUAUAAACUAUUCAACGUAUAUUCUCUGCAAGGCAUCAUUGAUGCAGUAGCAUCAGGUAAAGGUUUAGGUGAAUUAGUGGUAAUAGUCAUGAAUUACAGUCAGUUUAAUCAGAUUAUCACCAUGUACUGUACCUGCACCUUGUGGACAGACAGCGUAAUUCUAGCCUAGACAUGGUUGUUUUCUCUCAUCCAGCCAGAAUCUGUCUAUAACUGAAGCACUGGUAUGCCAGGAAUCCUUUGGGGGUUUGGUGCCGAGGGAGGUGCUGAUCAGUUCACUCAGCAGGCUUUGGGUUAUAAGUCUGGAUUCCUGUGUUGUUAAUGUGCCAAUACUGUAUGAGCCUGACCUUUAGCUUUGGCCUGUAUUUGAUUCAAUCAAAGCAUAAAAUGUAUUAUUUCUGUAAUUUAUUUGUUUACUGUAGCAUUAAAGAUCAAAACAAAGGGUCUCUAGGAGACAGCAGGAAACCUCCAGCAGAACCAGGCUCAGGGCGGGCAGCCAUCUGUCAUGAGCACUUAGGGUGAGGGGACAGAGAAAUGAGCAACAGGCCACAGAAGAAGAAGAAGAAGAAGAAGGCGAGAAACAGCUUAGAAUGUCAUGAUACAAGCACGACUACGAGAGAGAGAAGACACAACGUUAAGAAAGAAGACAACAUAAACUAUGUAGGAACACAUGGACAAAUCUGAACAAGAGUCAUUGUAUAUAGUGAUGGUGAUGUCAGUAAGGAGGGCCUGGAGUCUGAAAUAUAGUGAAAAGUAAUUACUGUAUCUGUCUCUCCUCACUCCUAACAGGAAAAUGUUUCAAUUCACAGCCUUGAUUCUUGUGACAUUCUGACUCCAGGAUUAAAUAGGAUUAUGCAU